AUUGAACGCUGGCGGCAGGCCUAACACAUGCAAGUCGAGCGGAUGAAGGGAGCUUGCUCCUGGAUUCAGCGGCGGACGGGUGAGUAAUGCCUAGGAAUCUGCCUGGUAGUGGGGGAUAACGUCCGGAAACGGGCGCUAAUACCGCAUACGUCCUGAGGGAGAAAGUGGGGGAUCUUCGGACCUCAGGCUAUCGGAUGAGCCUAGGUCGGAUUAGCUAGUUGGUGGGGUAAAGGCCUACCAAGGCGACGAUCCGUAACUGGUCUGAGAGGAUGAUCAGUCACACUGGAACUGAGACACGGUCCAGACUCCUACGGGAGGCAGCAGUGGGGAAUAUUGGACAAUGGGCGAAAGCCUGAUCCAGCCAUGCCGCGUGUGUGAAGAAGGUCUUCGGAUUGUAAAGCACUUUAAGUUGGGAGGAAGGGCAGUAAGUUAAUACCUUGCUGUUUUGACGUUACCAACAGAAUAAGCACCGGCUAACUUCGUG
rnacentral:rRNA from 1 species